CCUUUUUCGGAUAAGAUUCUGAUAGGACUCCCCCGGCUUUGGGUGUCUGCCCUUCCGGACGAUCCAGAUGUUUCUGGUCAUUUUGGGACUUGUGGCAGGCCGAAUUGGGAGGAGAGCCACAGCCUGGAGUGUGUCAGUCAACACCCUGCUCCUGUGCUCCUGCCUGCCUACCCAUCUCCGUUCAAGCCCUGCUCCAGCCCUUCCCCCUCCUGUUCUCCUGCCCCGCUGACUGAUCUCCCAGUUCCGGCUCCUGCCUGUUCCUGGACUUCGCCCUGCCCUCUCAGCAUUGCUCUGGUUUACUUGGACUUUGACCCCCAGCCUGGGCUUGACUGCGACUCUGCCUACCCUGUAUUGCUCAUUGACAUUGACAUCGACCCGUUUUCGCUCACUUUGAUUAAAGCCUGUUAUAGCCUGCUACA